rnacentral:lncRNA from 1 species
GGGACUGAGUAGCUCGGGGCCGUCCCAGUCUGAGGACUCCAAACCGCCAUCCCCCCUCGCUGCAGACUUCGCUUACUGCUUAGCUGCAGGAGGAUGGAGCAGAGGUGGCUUCCCUACGUUUUCCACCACGAUGUAACGGAUGCUUAUAAAAAGUUGUAUUAAAGAGCUGACUACAGCCCAGAAUCGAUCAACCAAAGCGACCAGCCUCUCUGGAUAAAAUAGCUCUUCCCAAGGCCUUCUUCUUGAAAACAUAGCAUCUUUUUUUAGUACAUCCUGUGCUUUUUUUGUUUCCCCCUUGAGAAUGGUGCUGUGUGAUAAAUGUGAAUUUAUUAGGGAGCAGAGUGGCACCUUCCAAAAUUACUUAGCUAUACUGACUGUUGCUGCCCCCGGAGCAGUCACUUAAAUUCAGACUCCUGUACUCAACCUCUCUUCUACGAUGCUCU